UUUACGAGGGGUAGGACACUGUGAGGAUUGACAGAUUGAAAGCUCUUUCUUGAUUCAGUGGGUGGUGGUGCAUGGCCGUUCUUAGUUGGUGGAGUGAUUUGUCUGGUUAAUUCCGUUAACGAACGAGACCUUAACCUGCUAAAUAGUCACGCGAACCGGUCCGCAAGGGCUCAAAGUUCGCGGCUCGACUUCUUAGAGGGACUAUUCGCACCCGCCAGCGAAUGGAAGUUUGAGGCAAUAACAGGUCUGUGAUGCCCUUAGAUGUUCUCGGCCGCACGCGCGUUACACUGACGGAGUCAACGAGCGUUUUUCCUUGCCCGACAGGGCUGGGUAACCUCCUGAAACUCCGUCGUGAUGGGGAUAGAUCAUUGCAAUUAUUGAUCUUGAACGAGGAAUUCCUAGUAAGCGCGAGUCAUCAACUCGCGCUGAUUACGUCCCUGCCCUUGUACACACCGCCCUCGUCUACCUUUCCCG
rnacentral:rRNA from 1 species